GGAAAGUUAAGGUCUAUAUAGUAUUGCUAUUAUAGUUGCUUUUGAGGAAAGCCCAUUUGAAGGCAAGUCAAUAUAGAGUGUAGGCAUUGAAAUGUAAGGCAAGAUUAAGAUGAGGUGGCUUUUGAGGUACGUGUGACAUAUUCUGGUCAUAAAACUCCAGAAUAGCUAAAAGGCAGUUCCCAAUUGUUUUUUUGCAAUGACUAAGAGGGCGUGUUACCCUUUUUUUUAUAAAGAAAAAAAGUAAUUUCAAUCACAUCCAUUCUUUUACAUGAAUUGGUGGAUUCUUCCAU
rnacentral:misc_RNA from 1 species